rnacentral:ncRNA from 1 species
CGAAGCUCCGGAAAGUGGGGGGAUCGACCCUCACGCCGAAGGUGCAACCGGACGCGGGGCGCGCGAAACAAGUUUCGCUCCGGGAAUCUCUCAGGCAAAGAACGGAGGCGC